AUUGAACGCUGGCGGAAUGCUUUACACAUGCAAGUCGAACGGCAGCACGGGGGCAACCCUGGUGGCGAGUGGCGAACGGGUGAGUAAUACAUCGGAACGUGCCCAGUCGCGGGGGAUAACGUAGCGAAAGCUACGCUAAUACCGCAUACGAUCUACGGAUGAAAGCGGGGGAUCGCAAGACCUCGCGCGAUUGGAGCGGCCGAUGGCAGAUUAGGUAGUUGGUGAGGGAAAGGCUCACCAAGCCGACGAUCUGUAGCUGGUCUGAGAGGACGACAAGCCACACGGGGACUGAGACACGGCCCAGACUCCUACGGGAGGCAGCAGUGGGGAAUUUUGGACAAUGGGCGCAAGCCUGAUCCAGCCAUUCCGCGUGCAGGAUGAAGGCCCUCGGGUUGUAAACUGCUUUUGUACGGAACGAAACGGCUCUCUCUAAUACAGGGGGCUAAUGACGGUACCGUAAGAAUAAGCACCGGCUAACUACGUGCCAGCAGCCGCCGUAA
rnacentral:rRNA from 1 species